GCCUUGCUGGCGCAAUGGUAGCGCGCCAGACUUCUAAUCUGGAGGUUGCGGGUUCGAGUCCCGCGUGAGGUG
rnacentral:tRNA from 1 species